CUCCCUAAUUCUUCAUUUCCUUAAAAGAUUGAAUAAAAAAACCCUAAAGCCGCCCAGAUUUCUCCACUCGCCGACCGGCGGCACCGUUCCAAAAUGACCCCAAAUCGAUAAUGUAUAACCACCAUGACCCCCUUUUUACAAAUAUUCACUCUGUUUCCCUUGAAUCUUGGUAGUUUCUCAAAUCUUAAAUCUAAAGUUCGAGCUCUAAAAGCCCAAAGACUAAGUUAUGCAUGCAAGGUUGUCCCUCCAGUCUCGUGAGUAUCAAGGUUUGGUUUAUCAAAAAAUGAUGUAAUUCACUUAUUCUUGACAAAGAACAGGCGAUUUAAAUUAUUUGGGCUAAAUCAGAACGUCUCCGAUGAUUUCGAGUCUAGAUCGGUGAGUUUGCUUCUUCGCCCUUUUGUUCGUUCUUCUGCCUCGCCUCUUCUUCCUCUUUCUCCAUUUAUUUGAGCAUGCCUUCUUACUGAAAUGAGUUUCGAACUUAGUUCUUCCGUUAGGAUAGUUUGUUUUUUUGGGUAUUUAUUUCCGAUUCAUUUUUCAGUUUCUCUUUUCAAGUUUUAAAAUUGUGCUCGCUUUUGUUGAUCCACUUCUAUUUAGCCUUAGAUUUUAAAAUUUCUGAUUUUUCCUUUUGUUUCUUUUUCUCUUAGUCUCAUAGCUUAGUCUAUAUCUAUUUAAUAACUUCGUUAAAUCCUUGCUUACUUAUGUUCAAUAAUUAGCCAUUUAUUUAGGUUAGCUAUUGAAUUCAUUUAAGUGAUUUUGCCUUGUUUGCAUUGAAUUUCUGAUUCGGUUUGGGUUGCCUUUUCUGUUUGGUUCUUGAGGCUAAUUUAUACCUACUCCAAAGGUUUGGUUGGUUUUUUAGACCAGGCCUAAGCCCAUAUAUGGCUGAGCUGUUAGGUCAAUUCGACCCAUUUGGUCCUAAAGUAAAAACAGUAGGUCUAGAGGUUAAUUUAGGAACUGCAAGAGAAAGAAUCUCCAAUAACUGAAUAGGAAGCUUCCUAGAAGCUGGGAAGGGGGACUAUUCUGAAAUUCUGAUUUUAAAAUUAAGGGUAAUUGAGCAAAACCCUAAAGUCCAAAGGGUCUUGAGUGCACAAAUGAGCCUAUUUCUGCAGUCCUAAUACCUUGCCUAUAAAUGCAUCAUUACUUGAUAUUCAAGUCAAAAAAAUUAGAGAAAAAAUUCUGCAAAACUGAAAUGGCUGAAAACUUUGGAAGCACACUGAUUUCUUUGCAUUCCUUUAUGGAAACUUGUUCAACUUUCUGAGUAAUUUGAAAUUUCUGUUCCUUUUCAUUAGUUAGAAUCUCUUGAAAACCUCUAAUUAUGCACCUGGGUUGACGAUGGUGUGAUUUUGGGAUUUUGAAAGUUGGGGUUGAGCUGGUUUCGUGUGGAGUCCUGUCUAUUUGCUGUUUCAGUUCAAAAUCCUAGGUUUUGGCUAAUUUGAAAUACUGUUUCAUUGUUGUCCUGCUGCUCAUUGCCUACUGAUUUAUACACUUCUCUUGUUUCCCCUUUCAUUUUCAAGUAUUUUUCAGCGGUAUGGAUAUCACUUAAGUGUAAUUUGAAGUGUGGAUCUAGAAAUAUGACGAAAUUUGAUGCUAUGUGUUAUUGAGCUUCAUUUCUCAUUCUUUCAGUUUCAUGCACAACAUGUAAUACUUAGUUUUAGAAAGAUUCUGAUUAGUAUAUUUAUCAAUGAAUAGGAUGUAAUCGAAAUCUAGAACAUGUUAUUUAUUAAGUGUUGUUCUCCUACAUUUUGUUUAUCAAACUUUGUAGUCAGUAUUGGAUUUCUUUGCCCUGUUUGAUCAUCUAUGUCCUUAUAUUUUGAAUUUGGUUUGUACUAGUGGAUAAAUUAUGAGUUUAGCUCCUUUAGUUUACAUGAGUUAGAAUCGAAAUAUUUUUAGUCAAGUUGUAGGUGUUACAUAUGUGCUAGUUCAGCUGAAAUUAGUGGUUCAUUUGUUGUAGAUUUCUGAUUUUUUGUUUUGCCCAAUAAAGGUUGAAAUAUAACCCCCUGUUAGGAGUAUAGAAUAGUAGAUGUCUGUCAUUUUCAGUCACUUUGAGGUUAUGCAUGAUGUUGGUAAUGAAUGCUAGAUAACAAAAGGAAUUAUUGUCUGAUUGUAUUUUCGGCAUAGAGAUCAAUUGACGUUAAAUAUGCUUUGAUAAUUGUAUAAAAGAUGAUCAAUACUUAUUUUAGUUUUUCAUGCAACAAUAUGAUUUGCAACUUUGAAUUCGAAUGUGUUGACGUUUUGCUCCAUGUGAAGACUCGAUCUUGAGUCUCAAGUCCUUUGAAGCUGGUUCAUUCUCAAGUUUGGGCUCUUUUUUGGGCCUAACGUGGACUGUUAUGAAAUUGACGUUUUGGGUAGCCUUAUAUUUGGUAUGCUAUUGGGGCCUCACGCUAGGCCCAUUCUUUUAAGUACAUCAUAUCUCUUUUAUUGUUAGUACACCAUUUAAUGAAUUAAGUUUGAACUUUAGCAUAGAAGGUGUUUCGAAUUCCCUUAGGUCUUUCUUUAGUUAAAUAGACUCUUUAAAAUGGGUUGGGUUGUGAUAUAUUAACCAAAUGUAUAAUUUAUGGCCCUCAUGAGCUAAUUUAAAAACUUGUUGUCAGAAUAAAUCGAGGUGGACCGUGACGAACAAAACCUCAAAAUGCAUAUCCCUUGCUUACUUAAUACUUUAAUUCUUAGAAAUCGAGGUGCGCCAUUUAGCUGAAUUUCUAUGGCCCUCGCAAAUUUAAAAACGUGUAGUUGCUUUAGGCGCGCUAUUUUGAAAUUUACCUUCCUAAACUCGGGUAUGCAUUUUAUGUGACCCAAAUCCAAAUCUUAACAAUGUUAAAUAAAAUGUGUCUCGGACUGCGGGUGUAUUUCAUGUGGCGUGGUCCAAAGACGUGUUUUAAAUGACGUUGAAAUCUUUCUUAAAUAAUUAAAUGCGAUUUAAAAUUCAAAAUAUACAUUGGUUUAAAAGUGUUUUAAAACUACAUAAAUAGGCCAAUAAUAAUAAUUGAGUGACCGUGUGGGAAUGCCUAACACCUUCUCCCAGGUUAACAGAAUUCCUUGCCCGAAUUUCUGUGUUCGCAGAGUAAAACAAAGUCAAUCUUUCCUCGAUUCGAGAUUUAAAAUCGAUGACUUGGGACACCAUAAACUAUCCCAAGUGGCGAAUCUAAAUCAAUAAAUAAAUAAAUCAUGUUUCUACUGUCACAUUAAGUUGGAAAAAACUACUCUUGUACUCUUUCGAGGGUAAGAAAAAAUAGCUUUGACAGCUCUGGCGACUCUGCUGGGGAUAAGAACCCAGAAUAUCUGGUUCAGGGUUCAAGAAUUCGAGCUUAGAAUAAUUGUUAUAUUUGACUUUAUUUAUUAUCUGGUUUUAUUUAUAUGUUUGGGCCUAAUAUGCUAAUGGUUGCUUUUAAACCGCUUUGAUAUUGUUGAACUGCAUAUAAAUUAUUGCCAAACCCUCCUCUCUCUGAGUCUUCUAAAUUAUCUGAGAAGUGUGCACUUCGUGUAACUUAUUUUCUGUUAGAGUCUUACCCCAAAUUUUAGAAUGAGGUUCGAAUAAGUUGCAAAGCCGGUAAAGCUUCUGUAUUCCCGUUACACUACCCACCCCUCUCGCUCGAGCUAUCCGUUUGGGUAAGCUAGGUCUAGAAUAAUAAACCCAAGCAUUAAACCUAGAAUAACAACACCAUAUGCUGGAUCCCUAUAAGGAACGUUUGUUUGCAUCACGUGCAUUUGACUUUGGAGACUCAACACAGGGGUUUGUCUAGGACAGCUGUACCUGAAAUUAAAAGAACAUCCUGAUGCAUCCUACUUGCUACUUGUGCAUUUAUUUUCUUCGGAUUUGCAUAUUGAACGGCUUAUGAAUAAUAGGAGAAAGUUGGGAAAAGAAAAUAGCAAUGUGAGGGCUCAGAGAUAUAAUUACCUGUUAUUAAAAACUAAUGCCCAAUAGGUACUAAAACUCUGCCAAAUUUUUUUUUUUAAAAAAAAAACAAACUUGUUUCAAAAAAUAGUUGGUUUUGUUUUCAUUUUGUCAAAUCUACCCGAAUUACGCCAGUUUGAUUCUCACUGGAUAUGGGAUACGUAGGCAACCCUCAUCAGGUCUAACUUCCUUUUUGCAAAAAUAGCCCAUAAAGAACAAAUUUUUUAUUGCUUUAUUGUAAAUAAGUAAGGUGAUGUCAUUCUUGUCAAAAAUAGUUGAGUGUCCCUUAAAGGAUGCUCGAAGGUUGUUUUUGCGAGAACAGCUAUCUUGUGUCUCUUUUUCAAAUUUUUGGUCGGUUAGCAAGCACAACCUUAAAAUCUUCUUCCUCGAAGUGCUGAAAGGUCGUACUUGCAAAGACAUGUUUUAUUUUUGAAAUGAAAAUUUUGAAAAAACAGUUUCAAACUUUUAUUUUUGAGUCAAAAUAAGUUAUUAAAUCACCCUAAUAAAUGUACAAGAUGAGCACAAAAGAAAAUGAACCCUUCGCAGCUCUUAAAGAGAUCUCCUUACAACUCCACAUAUAGUGGAAGGGAAAAAGGCACUAGAGAAAUUGUGGUAAAGGUUUUGGUGGUCUUAUCGGACUUUCGAACAUCAAUCCAAUAUUGGACAUGAUUGAAGACUUGAUACCUUUAUGGGAUCCGACUCGCAAUGUGUUCCGCUUUUCUAACUUUGAGCUCACACCCACACUUGAGGAAAUCGCGGGUUACACCGUCCUUAACGGAAACCUUAGAAGUCGGUGCCUUAUGUCGCCAAGACCGCUAUCUCCCUACAUAUUUCUCAACAUGUUGAGUAUUAGCUGGGACAUUUAGGAUGGGAAUUUGUCUUAAGGGUAUUGCACUUUCCAGUUCUUGUAUCAACGCUAUGGUAACCCCUAGGGUUUUGAAGCACCGAAUACUGGUUUGACCUAUGCCAUAAAUAAAGAUAAGUGGGAGGCAAGACGAGGUUUGGUAUUUAUAGUAGUAUUAUUGGGUGUUGUAACCUAUCUAUGAGAAGAUGGCAACAUAGAAGUGGACCUCGUGGGAAUGCUUGAUGUCGCAAUCAAGAAAGCUAACGGAACUUUGGUUCCCCCGAUUUUAUAUGAGAUUUACCGAGCUUUGACCAUUUGUCGAGAAGGGGAAAAGUUCUUCCAAGGCUACAACUUACUGCUACAUAGUGCAUACAAGAACAUCUCUGCCACCGUGCCGGGUAUAUCAACUAUAGUAUGAUCGGUUUGAGUUGCAUCAAAGAAUUUGAAAGUCGAGUGGUGGGUGUUGAAUUUCCUUAGGGUACCAAAGCUUGCUUUACGUACUUAAGUUCUUUAAAUUAUGAUAGAAUUGUAUGAGCGUUUGGAUGGCUCCCUGUCACCGAAGCCGUACACAUGUCAGCCGAAGUGUGUUAUCUUCUCCUGAUGGGCAUCCAAAGCAUCCAGCCAUAUGCUCCUCUCAGGGUUUCACGCCACUGGGCAGAUUUCAAACCAUUCCCCAUGACGAAGAUUUGAGUAUACAUGUCAUCGAAUUGGACCCAAAAGUGGUAUUUUCAAAAGGAAGAGUUCCCCAUGGGUGGAACGAAUGCAGAUUUCUCAAACCUGAGACUAUGAUGCAGGAUCUAGCUAGAGGUAAGGUAGACCCCAAGUACAAUAUUUGGUUCGGUAAAAGCUUUCAGAUUCCUGAGAGACCUUCUAAGAUAGCUCAUGUUCAACAAUUCACUAAUGACUCGCAUGAGCAGUGGGACUAGUUGGCAAAAGAAGAAAGCUACAUGGCCAAAAUAAGUAAAUUAGAAGGACAAAUCAGGGACCUCAAAUUUGGCAAUAGUAUCCAAGCUACCGUAGAUAAAGGGGAAAAGAAAAAGCUAACUCAGGAAAAUGAAGCCGUUAAAGCUCAAAUCCAAGAAAUCAGAAAAGCAGCUAGAAACCCGGAAAGGAGUCGUGCAGACGACAGGCUAAUAAGUAGCUUGAGAAAGAAAGUACUCGAGUGUCAGGAUGACCUAGAAAAAUUUGAGGCUAGUCUAGCAAAAGUCCGGGCCCAGUUGGCAAAGAAUGCAGAAGGGGGGGUGGCACAAUUUGCACAACAAAUGGAAAGAAAAUAUGAGAGGACGAUCACCAAUAUGAGGAGAAAGAUAACUACCCUUGAAAAUGAGGCGGAUAAAUAGGUUAGGAAUUUAAAAUCGAUAGGGAACAUUUUUAUGCUUUGAUGGACCUGAUGGAGGAAGAUAUGCAACGGUUGCAAAAUCAAAGCCAGCAUGACACUCAUGUAAUAGGAUCCCGAAAUCAGCAAAUUGGGCAUUUGCUUUAGGAAAAGGGUAUUGUCCGAGAGAGAGAGUUAAAGCCAUUUAUGACUACAUCGUCACGAAAUGCAAAGCAUGUGAGGACAUGAAUCGAACCACUUUCUUCAUUGCAGUGAUGACAUUUGUUCGUCAGAUAUUAAGUGAUUUAGAGCGGCUUCAACGGUUCUCGCACGUAGGCCCGUGGCAAGAUCGAAUGAUGUCCCACGGGCCUUAGGAGUAGUUGAGGCAUUGAUGUAUUCAUGAUUUUUACUCGAGUCUGUAUUUUCUUUUUGUUGGAGUCUGUUUUCGAGUCUGUAUUUUCAUCUUUUUGUUGGAGUCGAUUAGUUUCCCUUUUCGAGUCUGUUAGGUUUUAUGGUUAAAAUUUGGUAGGAUGAGUUGUUGUAACCAAAACGUCUAUUUUAUGGAAAAUUUGAAAAUGCCAAAAUGUUUUAUUAUUUAUUCUUACACUUACCCCUUAGAACUACGCUUGGUCUGAUUCAUGCGGGAUCAUGAUACGUAGGCAAUCUCCUUAGGAUUCGAUCUCAACCAAAAGAAAAAGAGAGAAAAGAACGGGAAAAACAUGAGAGAAAAAGAAAAGAAAAAUAGAGACAAAACAAGAAACCGUGGAAAGGAAACAAUGGCAAAACAAGAGAGAGAAGUAAGAGAAAUAAAGAACAACGAGAAAUCAAGCAAAGAAAGGCACGAGUGAAAAAAAAACAAAAAAGAAGAAGAAGUUGCAAAUGGAAAUUAAGUCAAGCCAGGAUGAUGCAAGCAACCGAUCAAAUGCAUAUGGUUAACUGCUUAGGUGCAUUACAUUCUCGAAUGUGCGGUUGCCUAUCUGCUAAGCUCUAAUCGCUAAUAAGUUUGUUGUUGAUUAUGAGUACAUGCGAGUGGUUAGUUUGCUUGGCAUUCUGGCAACACACCCGUACAACACCCUAUCCAAAAACAAGUUGAUCAUGGCCAACCAAGAACUUGAUGCAAGCGUUAUCGAUCCGUCAAGAGAGGGGGAGGAGUCAUACGUUAACCUAAAAGAAGAGUUGUAUAAGAUGAAACAGCAGAUGGCCGAGAUGUACCAGGCAUGGGUGAAAGGGCACCCACCACCACCUUACCCUGCCAACCCUGCUUUCGUCCCGCUGUUGGCCCAGUCCCAGGAACCUCCCACUUGCUACUUUAUCCCCGGGCUUUCCCAUUCAUCACCACUACCCCGACACCACUUCCCAAACACCACAAGCUCCACCACCCACACCAGUUCCAUACCCUCCUCCACUAGUCACUCCUGUUUUCGCGGCACUUCCACCCGCUACUCUCCACCGAUCUUCCAGUGAGCCCUUAUUACAGGUCCACGAUAACCAGUAUUACCCCCUAGAGCCCACUUUCAAGGCUCCAGAACCUUACUCUUGUACUCCUUGCUUCGAUCCCCCUGUGCAAACUAAGAAGCCAUCUAAAACUCUCGAACAGGAGGAGAUGUUCAGGAAGGUCAAAAGCUUGGAAUAGUCAUUCACGAAUAUGCAGGGGUUGGGAGGUCAGGUAAGCGUGGCAUACAAGGAUCUAUGUUUAUUUCCAGAUGUUCAGUUACCAGUGGGGUUUAAAAUGCCCAAGUUUGAUUAGUAUGAUGGGCACCCAGACCCAGUGGCGCACUUGAGAGUUUUCUGUAGCAAGAUGAGGGGAGCUGGAGGGAAAGACGAGUUACUAAUGGCAUAUUUUAGCCGAAGUAUGAGUAGUUCAGCACUUGAGUGGUACGCUCGGUAGGAUCAUGGCAGAUGAUAUACAUGGGAUGAUCUAGCCCAGGCAUACCCCUGUCAAUUCCAGUAUAACAUCGAGAUUGUUCCGGAUCAUCUAUCUCCGACAAAGCUUGAGAAAAAGCAUAAUGAAAGCUUUAGGGAGUACGAUUUUCAGUGGAGAGAACACGCAUCAAGGGUUGACCCUCCAAUGAAAGAAAUCAAAAUGGUGGAUUAUAUUCUAAAGGCCUUAGAACCUACUUAUUACAGUCAUCUGGUAUCAGCUAUAGACAAGUUCUUUAAUGAAGUACUAAAGAUUAGCGGUAUGAUGGAAGAUGGGCUAAAGUCAAACAAAAUUGUGAUGACCCGACCCAUUGUCACGUGAGUCACCGCUUUGUUUUCCUCGUUUAUAGCUUCUUAAUGCUUCAUUAUCUGAAUCUUAUGUGGUCGAGUUAGUUCGGAAAGGUUUUGGUAGGAAAUGAGACACUUAGUCUCAUUAAGGAAGGUUUGGUUUGGAAAAGGCAACCAGAUGUUGACUUAUGAGUUAGAGGGUUCGGAUGUGAUUUUCGAUGAUUCGGUUAGCUUUGAGGGAUGACUUGUGACUUAGGAGCAUGAUCGGAAUUGAUUUUGGAGGUCCGGUAUAUAAUUAGGCUUGAAUUAGCGAAGUUAGUAUUUUGACGAAUUCCGGUUAAUAGGUGAGAUUUUGAUCCGGGGGUCUAAAUGAAAUUUCAAGAGUUGUUGUAGCUUUGUUAGGUGAUUUGGAAUACAUGUGAAAAAUUUCAAGUCAUUCAGAGGUGUUUUGGUCGGGUUUUUUUAUCAAAUGCGUGUUUCGGAAGUUUUAGAAGAACUUAGGCUUGAAUCCGAUUCGAAUUGAUGGUUUUGGUGUUGUUUGAGGUAUUUUGAGGAUUGGAACAAGUUUGAGUGAUGUUUUAAGAUGUUUUGAUGCUUUUGGUUGAGGUCACGGGAGCCUCGGGGUGAUUUUGGAUGACUAACAGGGAGUUUUGGACUAUGAAAAAUUGCAGAAAAGACAUCAGCUGUCGCAGAGCAUUUUUGCUCUAUGCGAUAGCAUAGGGUGUAUUGCAAUCGCACAGAAGGAUUUUUGAGGGGGUGUUUGUUUAUUCAAAGCGAUCCCAUAGUAUUAAGUGGACCUACAGGCUUGAAUAGAAAUUUGUUCAACGCGAACGCUGGUUUAUGUUUGUGAUCGCAUAGGGCCAGGAGUUGAUGAAUUGCGAUCGUAGGGGUCUGUAUGCGACCGCAUACUGUUAAAUUUGGAGCUGGAAUUUUUGUGCAUUUAAAUUGCAAGCAUGGGGUUGCGAUCGCAUAGAGGAAACACGGACCUGGACAGAAGGGUUUUUAAAUAUUUUGUUCCGCGAGGUUAAGUCAUUUUCUACCAUUGUUGAAGCAUUUUGAGAGCUAUUUGGGAGGAAUUGAAGAGGGAUUCGAAGAGGAGUGAUUGGAGGUAAGUCCUAUGAACUAAAAAUAUGAUUAUUACGUGAAAUUAACCUAGAAAUUUAUGAAAACUUAGCAAAAUCGGAGAGACUACGGCUUAAGUUUUGAUAUUUCAAAUUGGGUUUUGAUGGGUCAUUUGAGCUCGGGUUUGGGAGUUCUUGAUAUGUAUAGACUCGUGGCGAGAUAAAUAAUCCGUUGAUGUAAAAAAUUUUGAGUUUCGAAAAGUGGGCUUGGGGCUCCGAUUUUGCCAAUUUCGAGAUUUUUAUAUUUGUCGAUUAUUUUAGAUUGGGUAUUGUUUCAUUAGCAUAUUGUGAUGUAUUUGUUGUGGUUUUGAUCAGAUUCGAUGUAUAAGGAGGUCGAUUUAAGAGGUAAGGGCAUAGCGAGCUAGGAGUUUGGCCGGCUUGAGGUGAAUAAUGAUAGUAAAUGAUGUCUUGAGGGUUUGAAACCCUGAAUUUGCACAACGCAGUGCUAUAUUGAGGUGAAGCACGCGCUUAAUAUGAGUGCGGGGUUGUUUACUACUGGGGAUUAUGACUUGGCCUGUUCCGAUUGAUAUUUUUAUCGCGUAUUUAACUGAGAUGUGUUUGUUAUCAACAUGAUUUGGGCUUAUUGCCAUAUUUUGGGCUUCAUGCCGACUACUUGAGUCCUUCGUGGAUUUUUAUCACUAUUUCCUUACUAUUUGAACUCAGUCCUAUUGAUUGUACUGUUUUACUAUCUCAACCACUUUAAUUAAUUUUUGAGACUUAAAUGAUUUUUCUACUAUUAUUUUGCCUGAGCACUAUAAUUUUAUUGAUGCCCCAGGAGCUUGUGAUGUUUUUCUGGACCGAGUGAGGCAGAGGGCCUGAAAUAUAUUUAUAUGCUACGAGAUGGCUUGAGUGAUGUAAGAAGGUUCAAGCCUUGAGUGACAUGUGAAGGCUUUCAGGCCUUGAGUGUGAUGUGAGGAGGCUUUCGGGCCUUGAGUGUGAUGUGAGGAGGCUUUCAGGCCUUAUGAAUCAGGCCUUAUGUUGAUAUAGCUCUUGGGCCGUAAGGGGACCCUCCGGAGUUUGCACACCCACAGUGACCGCAGGCACCGAUAUGAUCUGAUACUGAGCUCGAGGGGCUGAUACUAUGCGGAGUGACUAAUACUGAGCUCGAGGGGCUGAUACUAUACAGAGUGACUAAUACUGAGCCCGAGGGGCUGAUACUAUGCUGAGCGAUUGAUACUGGGCCUGAAGGGAAAAUUACUACUCACUGUUUCCUUGUUGUUUUACCUGAUUUACCUAUUUUUAAAAAAGAAGAUUUCAUUUGAUUCUUUACGGUUUUACUAUUUUAAGUGAUUUACUGCCUGAUAUAGAAUUACCUUGUGAAUUUAUAUGUUUUCAUGCCUUCAUUUUAUUAUUCUUUAUUAUUACCCAUUAGGUCGUAGUACUCAUAUUACUUCCUGCACCAUGUGUGCAGAUUCAGGCAUAGCAUAGUCAGUACCUGAGCACUGAUUCCUUCCAAACCAGGCAACGAGUUGGAGUUACGAGAUAGUUGUAGACGUUCGCAUCCC
rnacentral:lncRNA from 1 species